AGGACCCCUUUCCCUUCUUCUAGCUCUUCUGAGAACCCUGGAGGGUAUACACAUUCCAACUGGGAGAUCCAUUUGAUUUCUGCUUCAAGUUAAGAUGUUUUGUAUCUUUACCAUAAAGUGAUUGAUGAUUAGAAGCUGAGGAGAAUUGAUAACACAAGAAGAUAAUGCAUUUCGAAGAGGUUUUGGAAACAAACAGCAACAGAAAAAGAUUCUUCGCUAACUUUUGAGAAAGAAAUGAUCUCAAAAUACCCUUGUGUCUACUGAUAUUUCAAGGUUUGGAAGUCCAAAAGCCGGCUGUUUCUUUUCUGUGGGAUAAAGAUGGAGCAUGUGAAUCAGAACUGGUAAAUUGGAGAGGAGGUCACAAACCGAAUGGAGUUAAGCAAAGUGCAGUGCAAUCUGCAGUGGGAGAAAAGCCAGUUGUACAGAGGGGAAGGACUGGUUACCAUUAAAGUCUUCAAAAUUGGGACCUCAGAGGAGAAAUGAGUGGAGAAAUGAAUGGAGAACAACUCCUUGUUUCUCUCCCUCUCUUCUAGAGGAUGGGGCUAGUGUAAUGAGAUCCAGGUACAAUCCUUGAGAUAUCAGGGAUCCCCAUCCUGGUCUAUUCAGAAGUCCCCCAAACCUUCAGUGCCUAUAGUUCAUGUACUGCCUCUUCCAAAGAGCCUGCCUCGAUGGCUUGAUUGCAGUCAUCAAAUGACAUCUCACUAUUGAGAUGAUGUGUUUCCUUGUCCUUUUCUCAAUGGAAUGUGAGAUUCUUGAGACAAAGAUGUAACAGGCACACAAUAAUUAUUUGUUGAAUGUUGGCUGUAUCAGCUUCUCUGGUUGGAAAUAAUCCCCCCUCCUCUGAGUUCCCCUGGUGCUUUGCACUUACCUCACUCAUGUGAUCUUUUUCACAUUCCACUUUAUACUAUAAUUUCUGUAUUUUUUUAGCUCCACUAUUAUACUCAAAUUCUUCUGCAACAGAGAUGAGAUAAUGCAUGUAAAGCAUUAGUACCAUGUCUGCUGAAUAAAUGAUAGCUAUUAUUAUUUGUGUAAUGAGGCACUUGGAGGAGCAGAAAAUGAAUUUUAUUUAAAAAAACAGCUUUGGAAAAUCACAUUUGAAUAGAUCUUUAUUUUGCAAGAGUCACUUGAGUGAAUUACAAUACUACAAGAGACCUACUGCCUUGGAAGAAGGGAAUAAUACGAUGACUUGGUCUUGAAAUAUCUGUUCAGUGCUAAGCUGCACAACUUCAGGGGACAUCAUCCAUAUUGUAAUAGAUUGUGAUGGACAUAUUCUGAGAGGCACAAUGUGGAUGGUACCCCUGGAGUUCUGCAAGGAAGCUGCCCUGAAAAAAGAAAAGGAAAAGAGGCUUUGACCCUUUAUCUUUGAGGUCCUAGGUUACUGGUCCUCAAAUGGAUUGAUAUGGUACUCACUGAGAAUUAUCAGCAGGAAAGAAGAACAAGGGCCCCAGAGAGGCACUUGCCAUAAGGGAAGGGCUGUCUGCAGAGCACUGGGCUCAGCAAAGCUUUCUGACUGAGGCUAGAUGCCAUUGGGAAACAAGGAUGGACCUGAAUCACUGAAGGGCCACUGUAACCUUAAAAUCUUUCUGGGCUCUCCCCAGCACCAGUCAGAAACACCAAGGUAGAUCUAGAAGUCUCUUUUCCUCUCUAUUUCACCAGCUGCUUUUCCUCGAGGGUCCAGGAAGUUGAGACUGAUGUUUUAAUUUCACUUCAAAUAUACCAUCCUGUACUGUGUAUGCUCAGCAAGUGUUAAUGACUGACCGGCUAGCUGGUUGAGUGAAAAGUUUUAAUAUUGAAAGAAUUGGAGUCAUUCAUUAUUAUUUGAUUCCAGACAUGAGACAGAGUGGCAAUUUGAGGAAAAUAGUCCCAUGUGAUUUUG
rnacentral:lncRNA from 1 species